rnacentral:rRNA from 1 species
UACGAAGGGGGCUAGCGUUGCCCGGAAUCACUGGGCGUAAAGGGCGCGUAGGCGGCCUGUGCAAGUCAGUUGUGAAAUCUCCGGGCUUAACUCGGAACGGUCAACUGAUACUGCUCGGCUAGAGUGCGGAAGGGGCAACUGGAAUUCUUGGUGUAGCGGUGAAAUGCGUAGAUAUCAAGAGGAACACCUGCGGCGAAGGCGGGUUGCUGGGCCGACACUGACGCUGAUGCGCGAAAGCUAGGGGAGCGAACGGG